AAGACUAUAGACCUGCGGAGUACCUGCGGAAGGAUCAUUAACAAAUCCAAUAAUUGCUGGAGAACACUUGUUCUUUUUGCAAAUAUUAAUCCGCUGGCCUCUCUUAGAGCGGCUGCUGUGAUAUAAAUGCGUGAUAUGUUGACAGUGUGUGUAUAAGUUAAUAUUGACAACUUUCAACAACGGAUCUCU
rnacentral:misc_RNA from 1 species